GAAAAUUAUAAAAGUUAAGGGCAAAAGUAAUAAGUGAAAAAGAAUUACAAUAUUAUGAGUUUGCAUCUGUGUUGGCGGUCACUGUAUAUCUGUUCCUCACUUAUUCCUGCUCAUCUAGCUUUCAACAGAUGGAAAGGCAUUGAAUAAGUCAACGGGUUGAGGCAGUGCCAAAUGACUAUGGCGAUAAGUUUGUUACUUUAACUGGAUCAGUGCAAAGAUUUCCAGGCUAUAAGACGAAGGAUUUCAAUUCAGAUGUGGUGUGCAAAGAAGACAUAUGGACACUUGACUGCACUCAUCACUUUGAUACAGGGGACCAACAAAAAAUUUGACGCUAAAACUGCCUUUCACCAAAAUAUAUU
rnacentral:misc_RNA from 1 species